GGGCUGGAGCGCCGCGCCCGGCAGACUCCAGGGAGAUGCCAAGCGACGGGAGCAACUCCCGUUUCCACGUCGGGGAAACCUUUGUUGGUCGCUCCCGUCUCGCAGAGGCUGCAAGGGGCGCACGGUCACAGCCAGCGCUGUGCCUGUCUGGAUGCUCCGGCUUUCUGCAGCCUUAAAGGACCUAUUGAACUUGAGCUCAAGGGUAGCUCUUUCUAUACUUAAGGAAGAGAGAAGUGUCUGUUUUCUCACCCAGUUUGGAGUGCAAAGAGGUAAGACUGAAAGCUGGACUGAAGCUGCUGGGAGCAGAUGGUGUAUAUCCCUCUUUGUUACUUUUUAGUUCUUGAGGGGAAUAGGGGCAGGGCACCCAGGAUUCACAAUCAAGAAGCCAGAGGCUAAUUUUUGUGG
rnacentral:lncRNA from 1 species